CGGGAUAUAGCGCAGUCUGGUAGCGCGCCUGCUUUGGGAGCAGGAUGUCGGGAGUUCGAAUCUCUCUAUCCCGA
rfam:Oleispira antarctica strain RB-8, complete genome sequence.